CAUUAAAAAAUUCAUCUAUUUGUACUAUUAAAAACUAAUGUGAUUGACAAAAUAAUCAGAGAGUGACACAUGGUGGGCCAUGUGUAUCUCAUAUUGAUAUAUAGGGAUCAACUUUUAUCAAUAAAAAUAAUGAAAUUUUUAAUA
rfam:Gossypium raimondii Chr05_contig_437, whole genome shotgun sequence.